rnacentral:rRNA from 1 species
ACUCCUGACUGACCGAUAGUGAACCAGUACCGUGAGGGAAAGGCGAAAAGAACCCCGGCGAGGGGAGUGAAAAAGAACCUGAAACCGUGUACGUACAAGCAGUGGGAGCCUCUUAAUGGGGUGACUGCGUACCUUUUGUAUAAUGGGUCAGCGACUUAUAUUCUGUAGCAAGGUUAACCGAAUAGGGGAGCCGAAGGGAAACCGAGUCUUAACUGGGCGUUAAGUUGCAGGGUAUAGACCCGAAACCCGGUGAUCUAGCCAUGGGCAGGUUGAAGGUUGGGUAACACUAACUGGAGGACCGAACCGACUAAUGUUGAAAAAUUAGCGGAUGACUUGUGGCUGGGGGUGAAAGGCCAAUCAAACCGGGAGAUAGCUGGUUCUCCCCGAAAGCUAUUUAGGUAGCGCCUCGUGAAUUCAUCUCCGGGGGUAGAGCACUGUUUCGGCAAGGGGGUCAUCCCGACUUACCAACCCGAUGCAAACUGCGAAUACCGGAGAAUGUUAUCACGGGAGACACACGGCGGGUGCUAACGUCCGUCGUGAAGAGGGAAACAACCCAGACCGCCAGCUAAGGUCCCAAAGUCAUGGUUAAGUGGGAAACGAUGUGGGAAGGCCCAGACAGCCAGGAUGUUGGCUUAGAAGCAGCCAUCAUUUAAAGAAAGCGUAAUAGCUCACUGGUCGAGUCGGCCUGCGCGGAAGAUGUAACGGGGCUAAACCAUGCACCGAAGCUGCGGCAGCGACGCUUAUGCGUUGUUGGGUAGGGGAGCGUUCUGUAAGCCUGUGAAGGUGUGCUGUGAGGCAUGCUGGAGGUAUCAGAAGUGCGAAUGCUGACAUAAGUAACGAUAAAGCGGGUGAAAAGCCCGCUCGCCGGAAGACCAAGGGUUCCUGUCCAACGUUAAUCGGGGCAGGGUGAGUCGACCCCUAAGGCGAGGCCGAAAGGCGUAGUCGAUGGGAAACAGGUUAAUAUUCCUGUACUUGGUGUUACUGCGAAGGGGGGACGGAGAAGGCUAUGUUGGCCGGGCGACGGUUGUCCCGGUUUAAGCGUGUAGGCUGGUUUUCCAGGCAAAUCCGGAAAACCAAGGCUGAGGCGUGAUGACGAGGCACUACGGUGCUGAAGC